GGUCCCGCGCAAGUCAGUCCCAUGAACCGCGUCAGGUCUGGAAGGAAGCAGCGCUAAGUGGAUUGCUGGCUGUGCCGUGGGGGUGCCUGG
rnacentral:SRP_RNA from 1 species